rnacentral:rRNA from 1 species
CCUACGGGAGGCAGCAGUGGGGAAUAUUGGGCAAUGGGCGCAAGCCUGACCCAGCAACGCCGCGUGAAGGAAGAAGGCUUUCGGGUUGUAAACUUCUUCUCUGAGGGACGAAGAAAGUGACGGUACCUCAGGAAUAAGCCACGGCUAACUACGUGCCAGCAGCCGCGGUAAUACGUAGGUGGCAAGCGUUAUCCGGAUUUAUUGGGUGUAAGGGCCGUGUAGCGGGGAAACAA